rnacentral:rRNA from 1 species
AUUGAACGCUGGCGGCAGGCCUAACACAUGCAAGUCGAACGGUAACAGGAAGAAGCUUGCUUCUUUGCUGACGAGUGGCGGACGGGUGAGUAAUGUCUGGGAAACUGCCUGAUGGGGGGGGAUAACUACUGGAAACGGUAGCUAAUACCGCAUAACGUCGCAAGACCAAAGAGGGGGACCUUCGGGCCUCUUGCCAUCGGCUGUGCCCAGAUGGGAUUAGCUAGUAGGUGGGGUAACGGCUCACCUAGGCGACGAUCCCUAGCUGGUCUGAGAGGAUGACCAGCCACACUGGAACUGAGACACGGUCCAGACUCCUACGGGAGGCAGCAGUGGGGAAUAUUGCACAAUGGGCGCAAGCCUGAUGCAGCCAUGCCGCGUGUAUGAAGAAGGCCUUCGGGUUGUAAAGUACUUUCAGCGGGGAGGAAGGGAGUAAAGUUAAUACCUUUGCUCAUUGACGUUACCCGCAGAAGAAGCACCGGCUAACUCCGUG